AUGCACUAUGCUCGGGCCGACCCCGCCAACGCGCUCGCCGAAUUGGAUUGCCGAUGGGUUGGCCGAAAACUGGGAGCGCGAGGACUAGACAGAUCGCCAACAAAACGCUCCUACUCCUACGCACGCCAACCCCGAUCGAUGCCUCCUCUUAUCCAGUUGCAGUGUAGUGGAUCGCCGCUUGCUUCGGAUCUCGAGCCACCAAGCUCUGCUCCCGCGAAUAUGUCUACGGUGACCCCUGCCUACCUCGACCAGAGGCUCCCGCCGCCAACCGCUACUUCAGAGACUGCAGAGGCUGCCAUCGCGGGAGCCAAAGCCGCAGCCGUCGCUGCCGCAGUACCCACCCUGGCGAGUGUGAAGAUGCUGCCGUGGGCCAAGGCACAGCUGAACCCAACCGGGCAGGCCCUCAUCAUUUCCACCGUCGCCGGGAUGGCCUACUUCAUUGUCGCCGACAAGACCAUCCUCUCCAUGGCCAGGAAGCACUCCUUCGAGGACGCACCGGAGCACCUCAGGAACACCUCCUUUGACUAA
rnacentral:rRNA from 1 species